rnacentral:rRNA from 1 species
AGAGUUUGAUCCUGGCUCAGGAUGAACGCUGGCGGCGUGCUUAACACAUGCAAGUCGAACGAACCUUCGGGUUAGUGGCGGACGGGUGAGUAACGCGUGAGAAUCUGCCCUCAGGAGGGGGACAACAGCUGGAAACGGCUGCUAAUACCCCAUAUGCCGCGAGGUGAAAUGAAUUUCGCCUGAGGAUGAGCUCGCGUCUGAUUAGCUAGUUGGUGUAGGUAAUGGCUCACCAAGGCAUCGAUCAGUAGCUGGUCUGAGAGGAUGAUCAGCCACACUGGGACUGAGACACGGCCCAGACUCCUACGGGAGGCAGCAGUGGGGAAUUUUCCGCAAUGGGCGAAAGCCUGACGGAGCAACGCCGCGUGAGGGAUGAAGGCCUCUGGGCUGUAAACCUCUUUUAUCAAGGAAGAAGAUCUGACGGUACUUGAUGAAUAAGCCACGGCUAAUUCCGUGCCAGCAGCCGCGGUAAUACGGGAGUGGCAAGCGUUAUCCGGAAUUAUUGGGCGUAAAGCGUCCGCAGGCGGCCCUUCAAGUCUGCUGUUAAAAAGUGGAGCUUAACUCCAUCAUGGCAGUGGAAACUGUUGGGCUUGAGUGUGGUAGGGGCAGAGGGAAUUCCCGGUGUAGCGGUGAAAUGCGUAGAUAUCGGGAAGAACACCAGUGGCGAAGGCGCUCUGCUGGGCCAUCACUGACGCUCAUGGACGAAAGCCAGGGGAGCGAAAGGGAUUAGAUACCCCUGUAGUCCUGGCCGUAAACGAUGAACACUAGGUGUCGGGGGAAUCGACCCCCUCGGUGUCGUAGCCAACGCGUUAAGUGUUCCGCCUGGGGAGUACGCACGCAAGUGUGAAACUCAAAGGAAUUGACGGGGGCCCGCACAAGCGGUGGAGUAUGUGGUUUAAUUCGAUGCAACGCGAAGAGCCUUACCAGGGUUUGACAUCCUGCGAAUCUCUUGGAAACAGGAGAGUGCCUUCGGGAACGCAGUGACAGGUGGUGCAUGGCUGUCGUCAGCUCAUGUCGUGAGAUGUUGGGUUAAGUCCCGCAACGAGCGCAACCCACGUCUUUAGUUGCCAGCAUUUAGUUGGGCACUCUAGAGAGACUGCCGGUGAUAAACCGGAGGAAGGUGUGGAUGACGUCAAGUCAUCAUGCCCCUUACAUCCUGGGCUACACACGUACUACAAUGCUACGGACAAAGGGCAGCAAGUUCGCGAGGACAAGCAAAUCCCAUAAACCGUGGCUCAGUUCAGAUCGUAGGCUGCAACUCGCCUACGUGAAGGCGGAAUCGCUAGUAAUCGCAGGUCAGCAUACUGCGGUGAAUACGUUCCCGGGCCUUGUACACACCGCCCGUCACACCAUGGAAGUUGGCCACGCCCGAAGCCGUUACUCCAACCCUUGUGGAGGAGGACGUCGAAGGUGGGGCUGAUGACUGGGGUGAAGUCGUAACAAGGUAACC